rnacentral:rRNA from 1 species
UACGUAGGGUGCAAGCGUUGUCCGGAAUUAUUGGGCGUAAAGAGCUCGUAGGCGGUCUGUCGCGUCGGCUGUGAAAACCCGGAGCUCAACUCCGGGCCUGCAGUCGAUACGGGCAAACUGGAGUACUGCAGGGGAGACUGGAAUUCCUGGUGUAGCGGUGAAAUGCGCAGAUAUCGGGAGGAACACCGGUGGCGAAGGCGACCACCUGGACUGAUACUGACACUGAGGUGCGAAAGCGUGGGGGAGCAAACAGG